CCUCAUCACCAACAGCAUUCUAGGGCAGAAAGAGACUUCGCCGCCUUCUUGAACUCGCUUGCACUGCGAGAAGUGGACUAGCAAAAUGGGCUUAAAAGGAGCUCAUCCUGCCUGAAUAAGAUAUACACAGUUUCCCUGUGCGUCUAGAUAGGUAGAGCCCACUCCGGCCGUGGUACAAAAGAUAGAACCGCAGCACCAGCACCAGCACCAUUUUGAUUGAGAAAGCCACGUAGCCUUCAGGGGGACGCCAGCCUAUGCCAGGAGUCCUCAGAAGCUAUUGCUGGCAACAUGUGUUUAGUAGAUGUUGACUUCUUCCUUUGAGAAAGGAAAAAGAAAAAAUCUCCAGAGAACAACUAACAGUCAAUCCCAUGAGGUCGCUGGCGUCCAGUACCUUACCUUGUGCAACAGGUCUCAGAAGGUUAUCGACAGAUAGCAGCAACUCACUGACGAUCUAAAGACGUCAGCUAUUCGGAGCGUUGCUGAUGUGGCCAGUUGUUAGACUUGGGCUCCAAUGGAAUCAAACCUCAUUUCUCCCUAUCGCUGGAGGGUUGCCCGUGCAGGACGCACGACUAAGGAUGGGAAGGCAUUAAUUGCACGGUGAGUGCUGCGGCUCCCUGACUUUUGUUUGUCCUACACAUUUUUCUGUUUCUGUUGUUUGAAGCGAAUACUUGCGGACAGAGAGGGUGAUCUGAAAAAAUACGUAUGAUUUGAGUUAAUCACUUUUUGAGCUGUCAAUUUAUUGGCUGACCGGCGCCACUCUUUUUUUCCAGUUUGGCAUUUCGUCUUCUGUUUGUCAUUAUUCCCCAGAGUAUGCUUUUUUUUGGGGGAAUCAAUCAUCUGGACCCGGGCCUAUUUCAUCUCCUCGUCCACUUGAACGCAAC
rnacentral:sRNA from 2 species